rnacentral:rRNA from 1 species
AUACGGAGGACGCGAGCGUUAUCCGGAUUCAUUGGGUUUAAAGGGUGCGUAGGCGGAUGAUUAAGCGUGAGGUGAAAUGCCACUGCUCAACAGUGGAACUGCCUCGCGAACUGGUUGUCUUGAAUGCUCCUGCCGUGGGAGGAAUGUGUGGUGUAGCGGUGAAAUGCAUAGAGAUCACACAGAACACCGAUUGCGAAGGCAUCUCACGAAGGGGUGAUUGACGCUGAGGCACGAAAGCGUGGGGAUCAAACAGGAUUAGAUACCCUGGUAGUCCACGCAGUAAACGAUGAUAACUAACCGCUGGGUCGUAGUGAUUCAGUGGCCAAGCGAAAGCGAUAAGUUAUCCACCUGGGGAGUACGACCGCAAGGUUGAAACUCAAAUGAAUUGACGGGG